rnacentral:rRNA from 1 species
UACGUAGGGGGCGAGCGUUGUCCGGAAUUAUUGGGCGUAAAGAGCGUGUAGGCGGUUCGGUAAGUCUGCCGUGAAAACCUGGGGCUCAACCCCGGGCGUGCGGUGGAUACUGCCGGGCUAGAGGGUGGUAGAGGCGAGUGGAAUUCCUGGUGUAGCGGUGAAAUUCGUAGAUAUUAGGAAGAACACCGGUGGCGAAGGCGGCCCAACUGGUCCGGUACUGACGCUGAGGUGCGAAAGCGUGGGGAGCAAACAGG